GCGCGAGCCAAAAAUCAUUUUUGCUUUUUUUUCAGCUGAUUGAUCGUUGGUGGGCCAUUCAAUUUCUCUCUCUUAUCUCGCCAGUGACCUCCAAGAUUCGCCUUCUCCCACCGUCCUCUAGGGUUUCAGGUUGGUGAGCUUUAGCAAAUUCUAGGCUUUUCCAAUCUCAUUUAUUGCAUUCGUAAGGCGAUUUCUAGGGAUUGUGGUGUUUUUCUGCAAAAAAAUAAAAGGAUUCAUUGAUGAUUACCUAACUUUAGGGUUUCUUCAUGGCUUUUGAACGAUGAGGUUUCUAGGGUUUCAACGACAAGCAACACCGGUAAUUUCUCUCUGUCCCUAAAAUCAGAAGAUCAAGUAUUGGACGAGACGAGAAGAAAAGCAGUCGAAACCACCGAGAUGACAUCAGCGGAUGAUGAAUCGACCGAGACGACAUCAGCAGACAACGACUUGACAUUUUAACUCGAGUCGAGACGACAAGAUGAGAUGAAACACCCCAGUCGACAGUCGAGACGAUAGGACGAGACGACACACCCUAGUCCACACGAAGGGCGGUGUUAGUCGACACAUACCAGUCGACACGAAGGGUGGUGUUAGUCGACACAUGUUAGUCGAUACAUGCCAGUCGACACGAAAGGCGUCACUACUCGACAUGCCUCAUGUCGACUCGGAAACAGAUUAGGAAAGUUUCAUAUUUUUGGUUAUUUCCUUUUAAAUUCAGACUUUCUAUUUGGUUAGGGUUAGGAUAGGGUUAGUUGGCUAUAAAUAUUAGUUCCUUUUGUAAAUCGAGAAUUAACUUUUUAAUUAUUCAAAUCAAUAAAAUUUUUCUCCAUUGUUUCUUU